rnacentral:rRNA from 1 species
AUCGAACGCUGGCGGGAUGCUUUACACAUGCAAGUCGAACGAGUGGCGGACGGGUGAGUAAUAUAUCGGAACGUGCCCAGUAGCGGGGGAUAACUACUCGAAAGAGUGGCUAAUACCGCAUACUCUUGGAGCGGCCGAUAUCGGAUUAGCUAGUUGGUGGGGUAAAGGCUCACCAAGGCAACGAUCCGUCGCUGGUUUGAGAGGCCGACCAGCCACACGGGAACUGAGACCCGGCCCAUACUCCUACGGGAGGACGCAGUGGGGAAUUUUGGACAAUGGGGGAAACCCGAAUCCAGCCAUCCCGCGUGUAUGAGAAGGCCUUCGGGCUGUAAAGUACUUUUGGCAGAGAAGCGGUAUCUGAAGAAUAAGCACCGGCUAACUACGUGCCAGCAGCCGCGGUAAUAC